AACGCACAUUGCGCCCUCUGGUAUUCCGGAGGGCAUGCCUGUUCGAGCGUCAUUAUACCACUCAAGCUUAGCUUGGUAUUGGGGCCCGCCCACCAGCGGCCUCUAAAAUCAGUGGCGGUGCCGGUCGGCUCUAAGCGUAGUAAUACUCCUCGCUAUAGGGUCCGGUCGGUUGCUUGCCAACAACCCCAAUUUUUAUCAGGUUGACCUCGGAUCAGGUAGGGAUACCCGCUGAACUUAA
rnacentral:misc_RNA from 1 species